rnacentral:lncRNA from 1 species
CACAAUAUUAUUACAAAAUUCAUGUUCAAGUUCACAAAUCUGACGCUUACACUACACCUUUUUUUUUCUUUACAGCUGAUGGAGAUUUUCUGAUCUAUGAAUUCAAGGCUCCGAUCAGCUGUGUGAAAAUCGAGGAAGCACAAACUAUUACUGUCACCUUUAAAAACGCCAAGGGACAAAUCAAAAAUGGAAGCAUCAACGUCCCAGUUAUUUAUGGUAAGCUUUCUUUUGUCAACCGCAGCUUCUUUCAUUCAGUUUAAUUGUUUAUGGCAUAAUACAUUUAUAUAAUAUGUGACUUUGUUUAUAAAUACAUGUAUCUGCCUUGUCUCAUGCAUUCAAUAAUGAUUCCCUAUAUUUUGUCUACAAGAGGGGAAACCAUUUUGCCGUGAGGAGGUGGUAAAUGGAUCUUUUUGGCCGAAUACCCCGGCUGGUGACACGGUGAUUAACAGAACAUGUCCGGCGGGCCGGGUCGGCUUCAGCUCACGCACUUGUGAAGGCAGGAAAUGGCAGCAGGUGUACCACUCCUGCGUCAACGAAGAGCUGAACAAAGUUGUAAAUGCAGCAGAUAACUUCCUGAAGGGACUCGGGGCGACCCAGGAGGUGGCGAUGGAUAUCUUCAGUGGACUCAAGAACAACUCUGUGUAUGAUCCCGAUGAAGUUGAAACGAUGGCCGACACGAGCGCAUCCAUCAACAUUCUGAACGUGAUGGCUAAUGCAUCAGGAAGAGUUGUCUUGCAGGAGGAUGUCCUUUACGUAAGACCCUGUUUAUUACAAUUUCCUUCACUGUGAUAGAUGUGGUGUUUUGAUCCUAAAGUUUAAUGCUCGACCUCGUAAAACA